AUUGUUGUAGUCUAGUUGGUUAGGAUACUCGGCUCUCACCGAGACACUGGGUUCAAAUCCCGGCAACGGAA
rnacentral:tRNA from 1 species